GCGUUGGGAGCUCUCCCAUAUGGUCGACCUGCAGGCGGCCGCGAAUUCACUAGUGAUUCGUAUUACCGCGGCUGCUGGCACGGAGUUAGCCGGGGCUUAUUCUCCCGGUACUGUCAUUAUCAUCCCGGGUAAAAGAGCUUUACAACCCUAAGGCCUUCAUCACUCACGCGGCAUUGCUGGAUCAGGCUUGCGCCCAUUGUCCAAUAUUCCCCACUGCUGCCUCCCGUAGGAGUCUGGGCCGUGUCUCAGUCCCAGUGUGGCUGAUCAUCCUCUCAGACCAGCUAAGGAUCGUCGCCUUGGUGCGCCUUUACCACACCAACUAGCUAAUCCUACGCGGGCUCAUCCUCAGGCGAUAAAUCUUUGGUCUUAUCGACAUCAUCCGGUAUUAGCAGUCAUUUCUAACUGUUAUUCCGAACCUGAGGGCAGAUUCCCACGCGUUACGCACCCGUGCGCCACUAGACCCGAAGAUCUCGUUCGACUUGCAUGUGUUAGGCAUGCCGCCAGCGUUCGUUCUGAGCCAUGAUCAAACUCUAAUCGAAUUCCCGCGGCC
rnacentral:rRNA from 1 species